rnacentral:rRNA from 1 species
UACGCAGGGUGCAAGCGUUAAUCGGAAUUACUGGGCGUAAAGCGUGCGCAGGCGGUUUUGUAAGUCUGUCGUGAAAUCCCCGGGCUCAACCUGGGAAUUGCGAUGGAGACUGCAAGGCUAGAAUCUGGCAGAGGGGGGUAGAAUUCCACGUGUAGCAGUGAAAUGCGUAGAGAUGUGGAGGAACACCGAUGGCGAAGGCAGCCCCCUGGGUCAAGAUUGACGCUCAUGCACGAAAGCGUGGGGAGCAAACAGG